rnacentral:ncRNA from 1 species
CCCUGACAGUUGCAUGGUGCGACUGGCUAACCCAGACAGGAGAUCGACAUG